rnacentral:rRNA from 1 species
UACGAAGGGGGCUAGCGUUACUCGGAUUGACUGGGCGUAAAGGGCGCGUAGGCGGUUCGUACAGUUAGACGUGAAAUUCCUGGGCUCAACCUGGGGGCUGCGUUUGAUACGUGCGGGCUUGAGUUCGGAAGAGGGUCGUGGAAUUCCCAGUGUAGAGGUGAAAUUCGUAGAUAUUGGGAAGAACACCGGUGGCGAAGGCGGCGACCUGGUCCGAUACUGACGCUGAGGCGCGAAAGCGUGGGGAGCAAACAGG